AUGACAACUUCUCCGGAAUCUCUGCAUGUUCUGUGAUGAUCUCACAUUUGAACCCUUUUCUAGCUGAUGACUGUAGAAUGUGUUG